GAUGAAGAACGUAGCGAUAUGCGAUACGUAGUGUGAAUUGCAGAAUUCAGUGAAUCAUCGAAUCUUUGAACGCACAUUGCACCUCUCGGUAUUCCGGGAGGUAUGCCUGUUCGAGCGUCAUUUGUACCCUCAAGCUCUGCUUGGUGUUGGGUGUUUGUUCCGCCUCUGUGUGUGAACUCGCCUCAAAACAAUUGGCAGCCGGCGUACUUGUUUCGGAGCGCAGCACAUUUUGCGAUCCAGAUCAACGUACAGCGGCAUCCAAGAAGCCUUAUUUAACGCUCUUGACCUCGGAUCAGGUAGGGAUACCCGCUGAACUUAAGCAUAUCAAUAAGCGGAGGA
rnacentral:misc_RNA from 1 species